rnacentral:rRNA from 1 species
ACUCAAAGGAAUUGACGGGGACCCGCACAAGCGGUGGAGUAUGUGGCUUAAUUCGAUGCAACGCGAAGAACCUUACCAAGGCUUGACAUGGAUUUCUAAGCACGUGAAAGCGUGUGACCCUUCGGGGGACUUCCACAGGUGCUGCAUGGCCGUCGUCAGCUCGUGUCGUGAGAUGUUGGGUUAAGUCCCGCAACGAGCGCAACCCCUGUGAACUGUUGCCAGCACGUAAAGGUGGGGACUCUGUUCAGACUGCCCAGAUCAACUGGGAGGAAGGUGGGGACGACGUCAGGUCAGUAUGGCCCUUACGCCUUGGGCUGCACACGUACUACAAUGCCCAGUACAAUGAGAACCGAGACCGCGAGGUGGAGGAAAUCUACAAAACUGGGCCCAGUUCGGAUUGGAGGCUGCAACUCGCCUCCAUGAAGCCGGAAUCGCUAGUAAUGCUGCAUCAGCUACGGCAGCGUGAAUACGUUCCCGGGUCUUGCACACACCGCCCGU